GGACAUCAGCAUAUUUUACUAGAUACUUCAUGUCAUUAACCAUCUAAGAGCUUACCGUGAAUCCAGUGUGAACUCUGCUGGACUCUACUAGCAGUAUUGAGCUUAUAUCCAAACUUCACUACUAUUGAGGAGAGAAAUAGAUACAACGUAUUCUUACCUGUAUCUCUUCCUCCUUAACUGUGGUGAACCCCCUCUUUACAUCUCAUUGUCCGCACCUGCUAAAAUCAAGUGGAUCUGGCCUCCGCUGAUUGAAAGUGCAGCAUCCAAUAUCUCCUGUCCGCAUCAGGUUCGCCUUCGCUAUUUUUCUUGGCAGCUCCUCUUGGUUCUGCCAGGUUCUUUGAGCUCUUUAAACAUAAUUGGUAAGCGCACUAUAUUCUCUUAUUCUUAUUUUAUUAAUUGUAUAUGUGUUGAACACUUAUUUACAAAGUUUAAAGAUACUACAUUGACCCUACCUGAAUUAAUAAUGAACCUUUGUGUCAUACACAGACCACUACAUGUAAUUAAGGAACAGAAGUAUCAUGCAAGCCCUGAUGAAGCACAUCUAGUGCGAAA